rnacentral:lncRNA from 1 species
UUAAACCAGAGUUUGUCCCGGAGCAGCCGAGCUUUGCAGCCCCAUGGAGCCCAAAGGCCUUGCUGGCCCGAACUCUGCCAGUCCUCCCCGCUUGUGGCCGUUGUCACCCCGGACGGGAGCAGGGUUGGGGGCUGGCACAGCCAGGAAGGCGGCCCAUUUUCUUUUUUAUAUAUAUAAAAGUUUUUUAUUUUGAUACAAACAUACAAACAGGACAUACAAAACAUAAAAACCAUCUUCCAUAUAUACAUACAGUGUGUCAGUUGGUUACAAAUCCUUUGUGUCAUCCUUUCAUAUUCAUCACUCACAAUUUAUCAAAAAGAAAAUUUCUCAUAUUAUCAAUAAAACAUUAUGUAUUUAUCAAUUAUUACUUGUGUACAAUUAAACUAUUUAUUUCAUCAUAUAUACGAGAUAUAUUUUUAAUCUAAAAUUUAUGUUAUACUUUCAUCCAAUGGUUAUAUAUAUCAACAUUAUAUUUUAUAUCAACCUAUUAUAUUUCUAUUACAAAAUUAUAUAGACUAUUGCAUUACCAAGUCUUUUUAUCCAACCAUUGAUAAAACAAAUCCCAUAUCUUGUAAAAUUGUUUAUCUUCUUGUUCUCUAAUUUCAAAUGUCAGUUUACUCAUUUCAGCACAGUCCAUAAUUUUCCUAAUCACUUCCUCCUGGCGACCCAUUUUCAACCCCCCCUUCUCUUCUCCUGUGCAGCCGACCCCUGCCAGCCCAACCCUUGCUUGCACGGUGGAACCUGCGUGCGGGACAACAGCUCCGAGGCCUUCCGCUGCGAAUGCCAGGAGAAAUACCAGGGGAAACGCUGCGAGAACGAGCCAGAAGACGAUUGGCGGAUCCCCUUCUACAUCGCGCUGGGCGUGGCGGCCGGCGCCGUCCUGCUGGCCGUGGUGGUCUCCGUGCUGGUCUGCUUGUGCACGCGCAGGAAUCGGUCGCGGAACUCGGCGGCUUCCCGCAACCUCGGCCCCCUCUCCAACCCCGCAUUUGAGCGCGACUAGAAGCCGGGCCUUCCUUCCCCGGAGGGUCUGCCCUCCUCGCCCCGGAGCCCGCCCCUCCCUCCGGCCGUUCCCAAUAAAGCG